CCGGAGACAGGAAGUAAAGCAGAAUUUGUAUUCGGACCUGCCUUCAUGCCUUAAAAUGCUGCCUCUGAAGGCAGCAUUUUUGAACUUUUGGACGCAGCCUAUAUACCAGAACAUCAGUGACCAGCAAGUGACCUGUUUAAGAGCUGGCUUAUCUUUAUGAGGAAGUUCUAAAGAAGGCUCCGUGCAUAGUCUCUUCCAUAUCAGUAUUGGUGAAUAUCUGCACACUAAUUUGUUCUAACAUUUAUGAGGUAGAAAUGAAAACAAGCUGUUCAUACAGUUUACAGCAGCACAUCACACGGUGGAUGGCAGCGCCUGCCUGCUUGCCUCCAGACUGUGCUUAAUCAUGCACGACCAGUGAGUGACCUGUUUUUAUUCAUGAGUAAAUGGUUAUGAUUAUAGUAACUGUUGAGGGAUACUGGAAGUUCCAGAGCUGACUUUGAACAGGAACUAGCGCUGAACCUAAUGACUAAAUUAGUUUCAGGCAUGUAGUCCAGGUGAGCAUAAUUACAGAGAUAAAUGGGCCAGGUAAGUGACAGUGGCUUGUGGAAUACUAUCAUGGGACAGGGCAUUUGUGGUGGAAAUCCCAGUGUUGCUACACCCCAUAUAUUCUAGAAGAACACACGCUUCCUCUGAGAUAAGCAGAGAAGUGAGUGCCUUGGGCAAGUGCCGAGCUGCGGGAUGAGAAAUGGUGCACCUGUGUGCUGUCUAAAGAUAGGCUAGCAGUGGAGGGCCAGGGAGCAGACUCCAGAGGACCCAUCCGUCUCAAUCGAAGGCUGCAGCUGACACCUUACAAAGAGGCCCAGAGAGGACCGUCCCGCCUGAAACACUGUCACAGCUCGUCUGACUGGCAGUUCAAGAGCUCUUCAUUAGAAUCCCGCUGGGUCUACGGCAAAGAAAAACAAUGUGGUUGGCCCAGGACCUGUAACCUUCCCAUUUAAUCACUGCUUCAAACUGCAUUGUCUCUCCCCACUGUGGGAGCUGGUUUCCAAGGCUCUGCUGAGACUCCUAGGCAAACAACCUCCAAUCUGAACGGGCUAACACAUCUCUCUCUGUGUCACACUGGCACACAAGGAGCUUUAGGUCGCUUUACAGCUCGAUUAGCACACAUUUUAUUAGCAACACAUGCCGUAAUGCAUAUACCAUCGCAUGUUAUUGCUUGUUUAAAGAAAUAUCAGAUGCUGAAUUAAUGUGCUGUGUUUUUACACAAACAGAUGCUUUUGGCAAACAAAUGGAGCUUGCCAGAAGAGGCGAACAGCACAUAUAUUAUUUUUUUUGUAAUUUGUGUUUGUAGAUUUGUACAGCAAUUUCCUGUGUUUGCUAUUAUUCAAAAGGUUUGUUUUAUGCAUUAUGUUCUCAGAAAUAUAUCACGUAGUGCGAAACAUUUUUUAUACCAUUAAUUAAAGUACUUUGUGUAAAGCAGAUACUAAUUCAAUUGC